UGGUCUUAGCUUGCUAAGGCCGAUGGCGACCGGCGCACGGGUGAGUAACACGUAUCCAACCUGCCGUCUACUCUUGGACAGCCUUCUGAAAGGAAGAUUAAUACAAGAUGGCAUCAUGAGUCCACAUGUUCACAUGAUUAAAGGUAUUCCGGUAGACGAUGGGGAUGCGUUCCAUUAGAUAGUAGGCGGGGUAACGGCCCACCUAGUCUUCGAUGGAUAGGGGUUCUGAGAGGAAGGUCCCCCACAUUGGAACUGAGACACGGUCCAAACUCCUACGGGAGGCAGCAGUGAGGAAUAUUGGUCAAUGGGCGAGAGCCUGAACCAGCCAAGUAGCGUGAAGGAUGACUGCCCUAUGGGUUGUAAACUUCUUUUAUAAAGGAAUAAAGUCGGGUAUGCAUACCCGUUUGCAUGUACUUUAUGAAUAAGGAUCGGCUAACUCCGUGCCAGCAGCCGCGGUAAUACGGAGGAUCCGAGCGUUAUCCGGAUUUAUUGGGUUUAAAGGGAGCGUAGAUGGAUGUUUAAGUCAGUUGUGAAAGUUUGCGGCUCAACCGUAAAAUUGCAGUUGAUACUGGAUAUCUUGAGUGCAGUUGAGGCAGGCGGAAUUCGUGGUGUAGCGGUGAAAUGCUUAGAUAUCACGAAGAACUCCGAUUGCGGAGGCAGCCUGCUAAGCUGCAACUGACAUUGAGGCUCGAAAGUGUGGG
rnacentral:rRNA from 1 species